GAUGAACGCUAGCUACAGGCUUAACACAUGCAAGUCGCGGGGCAGCAUGGGGGUUGCUUGCAACUCCCGAUGGCGACCGGCGCACGGGUGAGUAACGCGUAUCCAACCUGCCCUUCACCACGGGAUAACCCGGCGAAAGUCGGACUAAUACCGUAUGUUGUCCAUUGACGGCAUCCGAUUUGGACGAAAGGCUUUGCGGUGAAGGAUGGGGAUGCGUCCGAUUAGCCAGACGGCGGGGUAACGGCCCACCGUGGCGACGAUCGGUAGGGGUUCUGAGAGGAAGGUCCCCCACACUGGAACUGAGACACGGUCCAGACUCCUACGGGAGGCAGCAGUGAGGAAUAUUUGGUCAAUGGGCGUAAUGCCUGAACCAUGCCAAUGUAUGCGUGCAUGGAUGACGGCCC
rnacentral:rRNA from 1 species